CAGUUCGGAUUGUAGUCUGCAACCGACUACAUGAAGCUGGAAUCGCUAGUAAUCGCGGAUCAGAAUGCCGCGGUGAAUACGUUCCCGGGUCUUGUACACACCGCCCGUCACACCAUGGGAGUCGGAAAUGCCCGAAGUCUGUGACCUAACCGUAAGGAAGGAGCAGCCGAAGGCAGGUCGGAUGACUGGGGUGAAGUCGUAACAAGGUAAC
rnacentral:rRNA from 1 species